AUUGAACGCUGGCGGCAGGCCUAACACAUGCAAGUCGAGCGGCAGCGGAAAAGCAGCUUGCUACUUUUGCCGGCGAGCGGCGGACGGGUGAGUAAUGCCUGGGGAUCUGCCCAGUCGAGGGGGAUAACUACUGGAAACGGUAGCUAAUACCGCAUACGCCCUACGGGGGAAAGCAGGGGACCUUCGGGCCUUGCACGAUUGGAUGAACCCGGGUGGGAUUAGCUAGUUGGUGAGGUAAUAGCUCACCAAGGCGACGAUCCCUAGCUGGUCCGAGGGGAUUAUCACCCACGCUGGAACUGAGACACGGUCAAGACUCCUACGGGAGGCAGCAGUGGGGAAUAUUGCACAAUGGGGGAAACCCUGAUGCAGCCAUGCCGCGUGUGUGAAGAAGGCCUUCGGGUUGUAAAGCACUUUCAGCGAGGAGGAAAGGUCAGUAGCUAAUAUCUGCUGGCUGUGACGUUACUCGCAGAAGAAGCACCGGCUAACUCCGUGCCAGCAGCCGCCGUAA
rnacentral:rRNA from 1 species